rnacentral:rRNA from 1 species
CAUGUCCUUUUGAUUAUAAUUUAAGGUCUAAUCUGCCCACUGAUAAAUUAAAUGGCCGCGGUAUUUUGACCGUGCAAAGGUAGCAUAAUAAUUAGUUUUUUAAUUGAAAGCUGGAAUGAAUGAUUGAAUGAGAAAAUGACUGUCUCAAAUUAAAUUUAGUUAGAAUUUUAUUUUUAAGUAAAAAAGCUUAAAUAUGUUUAUAAGACGAGAAGACCCUAUAGAGUUUAAUAAUUUUAAUUUUAAUUAAAAUUUAUAGUUUCAAAAAUUUAUUAAAAUUAAAUUAUUUUGUUGGGGUGACAGAAAAACUUAAAAAACUUUUUUUAUAAAUUUAUACAUAUAAGUAAAUUAUUGAUCCAAUAUUUUUGAUUAUAAGAUUAAAUUACCUUAGGGAUAACAGCGUAAUUUUUUUUAAGAGUUCUUAUCGAAAAAAAAGAUUGCGACCUCGAUGUUGGAUUAAAGUUAAAUUUUGGUGUAGAAGCUAAAAGAUUAGGUCUGUUCGACCUUUAAAACUUUACAUGAUCUGAGU